rnacentral:tRNA from 1 species
GCCACGGUGGUCUAGCGGUUAGGACGCUGGCCUUGUAAUCCUGGGGUCUCGGGUUCGAUUCCCGGCGGUGUCC